AGGUUAGAUCCUUCGCGAAUCACUUUUGCGGAAGCCUUUGCAGCUGGAAACAGUAAGCCGAGCGACAGGAAACAAUUCGGCCCCAUGCAAGUCAGCGCCUCGCUCUGGCGACACCCUCGAAUUGCGGGGAAGCCCUUAAAGCGCCUCCACACCAAGCCCGGCGAGGAAACUCGCGGGUGGCCCAUGGGAAACUAUGGGGUACGUAACAGCGGGAGGCGAUGACCCGGGACCGGCUCCCGGCGAAAUGGGUAAUCCGCAGCGAAGCCCCUGCAGUUGAUCGGUAGCACCCGCAUGCGGCCGAAACAUGGGGAACGUUCACAGACUAAGCGAAGGUGGGUGGAGCGCUGCCGCUCUGCUUAAGAUAUAGUCGGGCUCCCUGGGAAACCUUGGGGAUGGAUGGGGCCGCCCCAUCCGCCGGCCGUUGAUCACGGUCGGGGAAGCAAAAACGUUCCGUAGGUGAACCUGCGGAAGGAUCAUUA
rnacentral:rRNA from 1 species